rnacentral:rRNA from 1 species
GAUGAACGCUGGCGGCGUACUUAACACAUGCAAGUCGAACGAAGCAUUUGCGACAGAUUUUUUCGGAAUGAAGUUGCUUAUGACUGAGUGGCGGACGGGUGAGUAACGCGUGGGUAACCUGCCUUGUACUGGGGGAUAGCAGCUGGAAACGGCUGGUAAUACCGCAUAAGCGCACAAUGUUGCAUGACAUGGUGUGAAAAACUCCGGUGGUAUAAGAUGGACCCGCGUCUGAUUAGCUAGUUGGUGAGAUAACAGCCCACCAAGGCGACGAUCAGUAGCCGACCUGAGAGGGUGACCGGCCACAUUGGGACUGAGACACGGCCCAGACUCCUACGGGAGGCAGCAGUGGGGAAUAUUGCACAAUGGAGGAAACUCUGAUGCAGCGACGCCGCGUGAGUGAAGAAGUAAUUCGUUAUGUAAAGCUCUAUCAGCAGGGAAGAUAGUGACGGUACCUGACUAAGAAGCUCCGGCUAAAUACGUG